GUAGGUGGCAAGCGUUGUCCGGAAUUAUUGGGCGUAAAGCGCGCGCAGGCGGUCCUUUAAGUCUGAUGUGAAAGCCCACGGCUCAACCGUGGAGGGUCAUUGGAAACUGGGGGACUUGAGUACAGAAGAGGAAAGCGGAAUUCCAAGUGUAGCGGUGAAAUGCGUAGAGAUUUGGAGGAACGCCAGUGGCGAAGGCGGCUUUCUGGUCUGUAACUGACGCUGAGGCGCGAAAGCGUGGGGAGCAAACAGGAUUAGAUACCCUGGUAGUCCACGCCGUAAACGAUGAGUGCUAAGUGUUAGGGGUUUCCGCCCCCUUAGUGCUGCAGCUAACGCAUUAAGCACUCCGCCUGGGGAGUACGGCCGCAAGGCUG
rnacentral:rRNA from 1 species